rnacentral:rRNA from 1 species
CCUACGGGAGGCAGCAGUAAGGGAUAUUGGUCAAUGGGGGAAACCCUGAACCAGCAACGCCGCGUGAGGGAAGACGGUUUUCGGAUUGUUAACCUCUGUCUUCUGUGAAGUUAAUGACGGUAGCAGAGGAGGAAGGUCCGUCUAACUACGUGCCAGCAGCAGCGGUAAUACGCAGGGAGCGAGAGUUAUCCGGAUUUACUGGGUGUAAAGGGUGCGUAGGCGGCUUGGCAAGUGAGUAGUGAAAUCCAUGGGCUUAACCCAUGAACUGCUAUUGACACUGUCGAGCUUGAGUGAAGUAGAGGUAGGCGGAAUGCACGGUGGAGCGGUGAAAUGCGUAGAGAUCGGGAGGAACACCAGUGGCGAAGGCAGCCUACUGGGCUUUAACUGACGCUGAGGCACGAAAGCGUGGGUAGCAAACAGGAUGAGAUACCCGGGUAGUC